GAUGAACGCUGGCGGCGUGCUUAAUACAUGCAAGUCGAACGAAGCACCUUGAUUCGAUUCUUCGGAUGAAGAUCUUGGUGACUGAGUGGCGGACGGGUGAGUAACGCGUGGGUAACCUGCCUCAUACAGGGGGAUAACAGUUAGAAAUGACUGCUAAUACCGCAUAAGACCACAGCACCGCAUGGUGCAGGGGUAAAAACUCCGGUGGUAUGAGAUGGACCCGCGUCUGAUUAGGUAGUUGGUGGGGUAACGGCCUACCAAGCCGACGAUCAGUAGCCGACCUGAGAGGGUGACCGGCCACAUUGGGACUGAGACACGGCCCAAACUCCUACGGGAGGCAGCAGUGGGGAAUAUUGCACAAUGGGGGAAACCCUGAUGCAGCGACGCCGCGUGAGCGAUGAAGUAUUUCGGUAUGUAAAGCUCUAUCAGCAGGGAAGAAAAUGACGGUACCUGACUAAGAAGCACCGGCUAAAUACGUG
rnacentral:rRNA from 1 species